rnacentral:rRNA from 1 species
UACGUAUGGUGCAAGCGUUAUCCGGAUUUACUGGGUGUAAAGGGAGCGUAGGCGGUCUGCCAAGUCUGAUGUGAAAACCCGGGGCUCAACCCCGGGAGUGCAUUGGAAACUGGCGGACUGGAGUGUCGGAGAGGUAAGCGGAAUUCCUAGUGUAGCGGUGAAAUGCGUAGAUAUUAGGAGGAACACCAGUGGCGAAGGCGGCUUACUGGACGAUAACUGACGCUGAGGCUCGAAAGCGUG